AUGAAAACACAACAUGAUGAGUCCAGGGCAGUGACACACGGUUUAUUUAUUUGUUUUAAACAUCAGAAUUAAUAUGUAUCCAUUUCUAUAAACCACUGUGCCAUGCUGCUUAUAUUUAUCACACAAUAAAUGCCCUAAAUCAGUCGUCUGUGGAUAAGAAUCCAUACUGGUGGGACGUUGUCCUGCUCUACAGACACUGAGUUAGCCGAGGGUCUCAUUAGUCUCUAAUACGAGGUGUCAAGUGGGCGAGAGCUGCUGCUCCAAAGAACGGAAUGAAGUGGGAAUCAGCAGCUGGUCUUCCUGAUCGGAUAAUCUGUUUAUCUUUGGUCUGGAUGGCCUCACAAUAUGGUGGCAAUUCCGUUGCUAAGUAUGCAAUUACUGUGGCGCAGCACUUGAGACAAUCAACCAUAAACAUUUCAUCCUGACAGGGAGGCGAGAAACAAUGCGAGACGAUUCGCUGAAGCACCAAAUCUGCAGGAUUAAUACCUCUCAUGAGGUGAAAAUGAAUUUAAGUCACAUAUUUGGCAAAUCAAGGGCAACAUUUUAAUUUUACCCUCUAUAAACAGCAGAUGCAUUUUACAUACAUUUCCAUAGCUUUGUGAGGAGAAAAAAAAUGCCUGAAGAGAUGAGUAAAAUAAAUAAAUAAUGGAUGAAAAUAAUGCUUUUCAACAGGAACUGUUUAACAGGAACAAGGUUGCUCUGACAUUUUAGUGGCGAGAGUGCUGAUUCAUUCCUCCCUCUUACUCGUGUCUCCACUCCUCAGCCCACGGAUUUUGAUGCCGUAGGCCUGGCGGCCUGCUUGCCUGCCCCCACUUAGCAUAAGAAAAACAUUCUCUUAACCCAACGCUGUUCAAAUCCAGGCAGAGUAGAGAAUGCGUCCAAGCAAUGCAUCAUUUUAGGAAGUGGACAGUGUUGUUGCAAUCUCAGUGCCAGUACUUAUUUGGUUGGAAAUAGAUAUGAAUGGGAAUAAACACAUAAAUGCCACAUUAGUAACCAUUCACGAUUAGCUUUAUAUCUACGCAAAGGUUGAGAAUUACCCAUAAACACAAAAGAGGAUUGAUAGAUUUGGUCUGGUCUGGUUUCUUCCAAUCAGAGUUGUUUUGGCAUAAUUGACAAAUUAUUCAUACCACUGAUGUAAAUAUACAAAGCAUAUGCAUCGA